rnacentral:rRNA from 1 species
GCAAGUCGAGCGCACCCUUCGGGGCGAGCGGCGGACUGGAUAGUAACGCGUGGGAACAUACCCUUUUCUACGGAAUAGCCUCGGGAAACUGAGAGUAAUACCGUAUACGCCCUUCGGGGGAAAGAUUUAUCGGACAAGGAUUGGCCCGCGUUAGAUUAGAUAGUUGGUAGGGUAAUGGCCUACCAAGUCUACGAUCUAUAGCUGGUUUUAGAGGAUGAUC